rnacentral:lncRNA from 1 species
GUAUCAUCGUGAGGCUAUUCUUGAACCCCUUCACAAACUAAGCAUUAGUGUGUUAGUUGCUGUUUGUUUGUUUGUUUGUUAAUUGUGUUAGUUUAUGCUUGAAACAUUGAGGACAAUGUUUGAUUUAAGUGUGGGGGGGGGUAACCAAAGUGUUUUCUUGCAAAUUCGUAGGGUUUUCUCACCCAUAAUUUCAAAUGUUGUUUCUUGCUGUUUUUAAGCUGUUUUGGUGUGUUUUAAUGUGUUUUGAGUCAAAAAUCCGAAAAUCCCAUAAAAAUUUGAAAAAUUUGUUUUAAAAAACCCAAAAAGAGUUGUUUUUGUGUAUUUGUUUGUGUCUUAGGGUACCUUCCAACACAAUGAUGAGGAUUCGGUUUGUAAUUGCAUGACGGUUAAAGAGAGUUAUAAACAUGGAUAAAAGUUUGAUUUACUCUUUGGUUUAUGCUUGGUUGUGGUUAUAACUUAUAAAUUCACAUGUAAUCAUAAAGAAAAAAUUAGUUUUUGUAACAUGCUUGAAGGAAGGAACUCAAACAAACGCUACAACCUUGUGAGACUUGAGCCUAAACGUUUAUUUGGAGAGUUAAAAUUUGUGCAUUCUUUGUUUUCUAAAGUCGUUGCAUGAUCUCAUUAUUCUUUGCUUGGUUGCUACUUAGAAGGCGUUUCAUCACUUAGAACCAAACACUAUAACUCAUGCCCAUUUCAUUCAAAACAUGUCAUUGAUUUGCAUAACACAUAUUCAAGAUUCAGUGUAGCGUCCACCAUAGCCCAAAAGCCGUAUAUCCCUAUUCCAUUAUGUUUUGUAGGUGUUCACCCCGUUGAGCCUCGUUUAGCCUAUUUUCCUUGUUAUCCACAUUAGCCUUACCUAGCCUAGAUUAGGACCAUCCACACCCUUAUUCUUAAAACGUAGUAAAGCAUAACGCAAGAUGAAUUCCUUUUGAUCAAUGUGUGCGGGAAACAAGUGUGGGGGAAGGAUUAGUGAUAUGGGGAUGUGCCAAAGUCUUGAAUGAGGCACGAAAAAGAAAAAAAAGAAAAAAAAUUCGUGGAAAAGAAAAAGAAAAAAAAGAAAAAGUUGUGAAAAGAAUGAAAAGGAGUUGAAAAGAUGUGAAAAAGAGUUCUUAAGUGUUGUUUGUUGAAGGAAGGGUCCAAAGAGUUGCAUUCGGCCCUAAUUGAUUGUUUGAGUCUUCCCUUCUGUUUUGAAAUUGAUUUCGGCAUACUAAAGUGAAUUCUAAGUUUCGAUUUCCAUACUUUGCUUACUAUUGUUUUAAGAACGUUUGUUUAUCCUUUACCCUUCUUUGUUAGCCAAUACCCCAAGCCCCGUUACAACCCUUUACUUUAAUCUUGAGUGUUGUGUAUUUCAAUUUGUGGAGUUUGGAAUGGGUAUGAGCAUAUGGUGUCACUGGUUCUCGCAUUUAAGUAGUAGCAUUCCAUUCAUGAGAUCAUACUUAUAAACAUGUCAUUAACUCCAGAAAUUGCUUUCUUUGUUAUACAUAUAUGUGAGCGUUCGUUUUCAUAUUUACAUCAAUCUUCUCACAUAUAACUAGUAUAGGGUGUGUAAUUAGAAAAUCGGUGUGAAAAUUGAGUGCAUAUCUAGUAAGGAAUUGAGGAAAUUCUCUAAGGCAUGUUACUACAUUCAAAACAUCGUUUUAAUUGGUUAUUUGUGAACUAAUGAGUAGUGACUAUGAUUAAGUAUGUGCUUAAGCGUAAAGAUGGCUAAAAUCUGUGGGAAUGAUGAUUUUUAACAUGUUAUGUGCAUUGGAAAUCCCUGAGGCGAUUGUUGGAAGGUUUAGGUUGUGUUUUACUCGUUUUGUUAAGUUUGUUUACUUUGUUUCGUUUUGUUUUGCUCGAGGACUAGCAAAAGCUAAGUGUGGGGGAAUUUGAUAGGAGCAUAUUUAUGCGCCUUAGUUGAGCUUGUUCUUGUGCAUUUAUAGUGUUUUUCCUUAGUAAAGUAGUCUUUUAAGCUAGUUUUAUGUGUUUUCAGGUUCUAAGGGCAAAGUAUGCAAAAUGAUGCAUUUUGGAGCCUUUUUGGAGCAUAUUUGAGCUUGGAAUGGAUGUCAUAUGCUUGGAGCCAAGAGGAUGGACGAAAUUGAAGAUUUGAAAAUGAUGUUUCCUACUUGAGCAAGGUUUCCUAGUCGAAGUAGGAAAGCGCCUAAUUAAAAGAUGAAAUCCUAGUCAACAAAGGAUUCCUAAUUGAAGAAGGAUUCCUAAUCUACGAGGGAUUCCUAGUUGAAGAUGGAUUCCUAGAAGAAUGAAGAUUCCUACUCAAACAAGGUUUCCUACUCGAAGUAGGAAAGUUAAAUCCAAAUGGCAUCAAGUUGCAGCUACAAAGAAGAUUUCCAAGUCCAAGAAGGAAAGGUUUCCAAGAUGAAGUAGGAGAAGAAUUCCAAGUCAAGAGAGGAUUGAGAC